rnacentral:rRNA from 1 species
CAGCAGCCGCGGUAAUACGAGAGGUGCAAGCGUUAUUCGGACUGAUUGGGUGUAAAGGGUGUGCAGACGGCUUAUUAAGUCACUUGUUAAAUUCUUCGGCCUAACUGAAGGUCUGCAAGUGAUACUGAUGAGCUAGAGGGUGGAAGAGAGAAGUGGAAUUCUCGGAGUAGCGGUAAAAUGCGUAGAGAUGUGGAGGAACACCAGUGGCGAAGGCGACUCUCUGGUCUGUAACUGACGCUGAGGAGCGAAAGCGUGGGGAGCGAACAGGAUUAGAUACCCCAGUAGUCCCUGUCUCUUAUAC